rnacentral:sRNA from 1 species
UUCAAAUGGUGCAAAAUAUGCGGCCUGCAAAAUAGAAAACUAACCGACGUUUAAGAGACGUCGGUUAUUUUUUUGC